CUGGAACCGUGGGAGCGGGGAACGCGCUUCCGGGGCUGCGAUGGGAUCCAUUCAGGAUGGUAGAGGGGUGGGUCCCCUGGGCUGUGGGGUGCGGGUCGGGUUUGAGCAGUUCUGUCGGAGUAGAUGGCCAUAGAAUAGCCAUCGAGCGCCGGCGGUGGAGGGAGGGAGGGAGGGAGGGUUUAGUUGAUGGGCGCGGCGGUGCGUUGGGUUCACACGCAAGACUUGGCUGGUCAGGCAGCAUCUAUGGAGGGGAAUAAACAGUCGGCCCGUCAUCAGGACUGGAAAUGCGACACAUCACCCACUGUCGGGGUCAUCUACUAGAUUCGGUGCGACCCCUUUUACAUCGGCAAGCACCACAAAAGGCAGAACAUGUCUGUCCAUGGCCUCCUCUACCGCCUCGCUCGCUGUGGCCAUAAACACUGCGGGGGAGCCUGGGUAACCUCCAACCUGACGACAUGAACGUCGGUUUCUCCAGCUUCGAGAAAUGUCUCCCCCCUCCAUUCUCCUCAGCAGCCUCUGAUAAUCCUUUUUCCCUUCCUCCCACGGUCACUGGACGGAAACCCGCUCCCUCAGCGAAACCAGGACGUCCGCGCCGAUGGAAACUGCCAGCGGCACCCGGCCUGCUGGAGGAGCUCAGGGAGCCGAGCAGCGUCCGCGGACAGGAGGAGCGGGGCUGAGUCCAGUUCCGGGCGGGGCCGUGAGUGGGGAGGGGAGACGGCCGCUUCGUAGAAGAAGAUCUUAUGGUGACGGGAGAAGGCAGGAGAGUGGAGUUGAGAGGAACAAUAAAUCAGCCCUGAUGGAAUGGCGGAGAAGAUUCGAUGGGCCAAAUGCCCUAAUUCUGCUCCGUUGACUUAUGGUCUUGGGUGAGAUACGUCCACCCCCCUCCCCCCAUUGGCGGGCCGAGGAGACACUGGUCGAAUCAGGCAGGGGAGGGGAGGUGCUGUCAUCCCUGAGCCCGGUACACACUUGGCGGGUGGGUUAGGUGGUCCGCUGUUCCAUUCCGCAGACCAGGCCACGGGCAGGGACCUGCGGUUCGGGCUGAGUCCGCAUUUCCCAUGUAAUCGGGGCUCCAUUCACAGGGCUGAUUAAUUACCUGCUACUGCUCUCUGCACCGCCCCCCCCCCACCGAGCAAAGCCUGGGGAGGGGGGAGGGUCCCCGCCACGGACUCUGUCUGGCUGCCCAUUGUCCAUGAAAGGGCGGAGACAGUGACCCGUCUCAGGGACUGUGCUUUAGACACGGUCCGCUGAACGCUGUGUCCGUCCGCCGGCUCUGCGUGAGAACUGUUUAGACUUUUCACCCCUCUCUUCGGAACGGGUUGGACAUGGAAGCUUUAGAGAGAGUGCAGAGGAGGUUUGCCAGGGUGUAGCCUGGAUUGGAGAGCAUGUCUUAUGAGGAAGGUCAACAUAGAAGAUUUGGGAUGAAUGGCCUUCUCCCCUGCUGUAUGGAAAGAACUCCAGGUUGGGAAUAUCUGGAACAUGGCAUCUGUCAGAGGUGAAUCCUCCAGCAAUCGCACUUCCCCCAACCUCUGGUUACUUGACCUUCAGCGAUCGAUGUAUGGGGAUGGGAGGGAACACUGACGCCCUGCCAUCUCUCACUGUCUAAUGGACACCAGCGCCUAGGAGAGACCGUGUGCAUCGGUCUCUGACCGGGUCUAUCUCCACCUGUGUCAGGACCCUGGGUGACUUUGGGUCGUGGGUUUGGCUGGG